rnacentral:rRNA from 1 species
UACGUAGGGUCCGAGCGUUGUCCGGAAUUAUUGGGCGUAAAGAGCUCGUAGGCGGUCUGUUGCGUCGGGAGUGAAAACUUACAGCUUAACUGUGAGCGUGCUUUCGAUACGGGCAGACUUGAGGCAUUCAGGGGAGAACGGAAUUCCUGGUGUAGCGGUGAAAUGCGCAGAUAUCAGGAGGAACACCGGUGGCGAAGGCGGGUCUCUGGGCCGAUACUGACGCUGAGGAGCGAAAGCGUGGGGAGCGAACAGG